rnacentral:rRNA from 1 species
AGUGAACGCUGGCGGUAGGCCUAACACAUGCAAGUCGAACGGCAGCACAGUAAGAGCUUGCUCUUACGGGUGGCGAGUGGCGGACGGGUGAGGAAUACAUCGGAAUCUACUUUUUCGUGGGGGAUAACGUAGGGAAACUUACGCUAAUACCGCAUACGACCUACGGGUGAAAGCAGGGGAUCUUCGGACCUUGCGCGAUUGAAUGAGCCGAUGUCGGAUUAGCUAGUUGGCGGGGUAAAGGCCCACCAAGGCGACGAUCCGUAGCUGGUCUGAGAGGAUGAUCAGCCACACUGGAACUGGGACACGGUCCAGACUACUACGAGAGGCAGCAGUGGGGAAUAUUGGACAAUGGGCGCAAGCCUGAUCCAGCCAUACCGCGUGGGUGAAGAAGGCCUUCGGGUUGUAAAGCCCUUUUGUUGGGCAAGAAAAGCAGCAGGUUAAUACCCCGCUGUUCUGACGGUACCCAAAGAAUAAGCACCGGCUAACUUCGUG